UGGGGAAUAUUGCACAAUGGGCGCAAGCCUGAUGCAGCGACGCCGCGUGGGGGAUAACGGCCUUCGGGUUGUAAACUCCUUUCGCUAGGGACGAAGCUUUUUGUGGCGGUACCUAGAUAAGAAGCACCGGCUAACUACGUGCCAGCAGCCGCGGUAAUACGUAGGGUGCGAGCGUUGUCCGGAAUUACUGGGCGUAAAGGGCUCGUAGGUGGUUUGUCGCGUCGUCUGUGAAAUUCCGGGGCUUAACUCCGGGCGUGCAGGCGAUACGGGCAUAACUUGAGUACUGUAGGGGUAACUGGAAUUCCUGGUGUAGCGGUGAAAUGCGCAGAUAUCAGGAGGAACACCGAUGGCGAAGGCAGGUUACUGGGCAGUUACUGACGCUGAGGAGCGAAAGCAUGGGUAGCGAACAGG
rnacentral:rRNA from 1 species